ACCCGGGCGGGCGGCUAGCGGUUGGAGAGCCCUGGUCCCGCCCACCCCCCCGGGGCUGGGGCCGAGCCGACCCGGGGCGCCCUGACGGCGUGCGCCCCUCGCCCCCUGGUGGGCGGGGAGACUGAGGCUCGGCGAGGGGGGCACCGCCCGGGCGGGAACCCGAGCCCGGCGGCGCGCACGGCCCCCACCCCCGCGAGCGGCCUUGGGGAGCGGCGGUGGCCCAGCAGCUUAGCUGCCUCUCCCGGCCUCAGGCCCCGGCCGCGCGGGGACCAGCCCUCCAUUCGCGAGCGGAUGCCCGCUGGGCGCCCAGUGUGCGGGGUGUGGGCAGUCAGGGGAGCCGAGGCAGCCCGCCCGCCGCCGGGGUCCUCGCUUCAAAACGGGGGCGCCAACCCCCCGCUGGUCCAGUUCCUUCUCAGUGCCGACUUCCUGCCCCUCUUUCCACCGCAGACCGCUUCCGACCCUUAAGUUACCCAGCGGCCUCGCAGCCGCCUGUAUGUGGGUCUUGGGCCAGGUAGGCCCGGCGGUCUCUCCAUCCCUGCCCUCUGCCUCAUCAGUGGAGAUGUGGCCAGGUGGUCCCUCCCGCUAGGAUUCAGCUCAGCUGGUCAGCCAGGCACUAAGUAGAAUCACGGAUGGGCGUGGGGUCUUCAUGGGUCUCAGGAGGUCCGGGGCCAGGCAUCCACCCUGUGAGGGCUCCCCGCUUUGACCCAUGCUGUUCUUUCUGCCUGGAACACUUGUCCCAUGCUGUCCCCACCUGGCCCGCUUCCCUUUAUCCUGCAGGACAUGAGUGAGUGUCUCUUAGGUCACUCUGUCCCUGACCCCCUCCUCAACAGGAUCCUGUGCUCACCAGUCCUAGCUCCCAUUACACAAUUCCACACCUGCGGGCAGCCGGGGGAAUGAAAGGUGUCCAAAGGUGAGGAGCACUUUGAGGUGAGCACACAGGGUGCUUGGGAAACUUCAGCUUCGAUUAGUAGGACCCUGGCCUUCCUGGCUCUGAGGAGACACUGAGGGGCUGUCAGCAGGGCCCCCCAUCCAGCCUUGGCAAAUCCAAGUGAUGGCUUUAGUCAGAAAAAAGUUUCAGAUGGUCUGUACUGGCCACCCCCAUCCCGUGAGGACAAGUGCAGUUUAAUGCUGAGGUGACAUUUGUGUCCCUGCCUUCCAUUUACCCCUCUGCAGCUUUGCAGAUGCCCAGGGAACCAUCCCAGGUGGGACUGAGCCCCAUCUCUGAUGGUGGCCCCUGAGUGCUCUCACCCAAUCAGCUUGUGGUCUCCCCGCCCCACCUCCUGGACUUGUGACCUGAGACAGUGGGUCAAAGCAAAGCCCAGGAUUUCGAAUGAAGAUAGAGGGGAAAGCAGCGCCUUCUGGAAUUUGAACACGAAAGUGGAAGAGCCACAGGGAAGCCUGACAACCCGGGGCGGGGGGGGGGGAGGGGGGAGCAUGAUGGAGAGAAUCCCAGGAAAUGACCAGAGCCCUGGUCAACCUCUGACUGGCAGCCUGAGCCCAACCUGCCUCCGGGGCUUUCUUCAGCCCCUGCCCACCCCCGAAUGGGGACCAUAGGUCUCCCCCUGAGAUCGAAGAUUGACACCCGGUACCAGGAGGGAAGAGGGGAGACCCUGGGCCUCCUUCCAAGGCCACGCACACAUGGAGGUCUGGAACACACACAGCACUCCUCAGCCGGGGCCUGCUCACACCCCUUCCAAGCCGCACGGCUCAACUGAGAAACCGAGGUCUACCAGGAGACCCCACAGGGUUGCUGUGAGGAGUUCCUGCCUAUCAGCUGCUUCCCUUGGUGCCCGGCACCGUGACCUUGUGUGCGUGGCACACGUUCUUGCUGCGUUGGAUCCGCGCAUCCUUCCUCAUCAAGCCCCACUCAGGUGAAGACAGGCUCAGAGAUGUUAACUAUGUUGCUCAAGGCCACGCAGCUUGGCAGAACUAUGACCUGACGCCAAAGCCUCCAAUCAAAGGGCUUUGGCCACUGUCCCUCCAAAUCGGUGGCGGCUGUGGACCAAGGCCUGGUCAGAGUCUCACGAGCAGGGCGAGAUGAAAAGCGACCUUCCACCAUCUCAGACCCCAGCACUGCGGGUUUCUGGCUGCCACGACAGGGAUGGGCCUUCUUCCAUGGAUGUGAGAUGGCCCAAGUUAAAAAAAGAAAAAAGAUGACUCUAGGCUUAAGUUCUUGGAGGCCAAGUUAGUAAAUUUAUUGUUUCUUUCACAGAAUACAUUGUUUCUCUAAAAACCUCUCGAAUUGCUCCCAAGCCAUGUGAUUUAAUGAAACUAAAA